GAUCAUGGCUCAGGAUGAACGCUAGCUACAGGCUUAACACAUGCAAGUCGAGGGGCAGCAUGGUCUUAGCUUGCUAAGGCCCGAUGGCGACCGGCGCACGGGUGAGUAACACGUAUCCAACCUGCCGUCUACUCUUGGACAGCCUUCUGAAAGGAAGAUUAAUACAAGAUGGCAUCAUGAGUCCCGCAUGUUCACAUGAUUAAAGGUAUUCCGGUAGACGAUGGGGG
rnacentral:rRNA from 1 species